rnacentral:rRNA from 1 species
UACGUAGGGGGCAAGCGUUGUCCGGAAUCAUUGGGCGUAAAGAGCGUGUAGGCGGCUCGGUAAGUCCGCUGUGAAAGUCCAGGGCUCAACCCUGGAAAGCCCGGUGGAAACUGUCGAGCUCGAGUCCGGAAGAGGCGAGUGGAAUUCCUGGUGUAGCGGUGAAAUGCGCAGAUAUCAGGAGGAACACCAAUGGCGAAGGCAGCUCGCUGGGACGGUACUGACGCUGAGACGCGAAAGCGUGGGGAGCAAACAGGG